AACCGCGAAUGGCUCAUUAUAACAGCUAUAAUUUACUUGAUCUUGACACAAUCCUACUUGGAUAACUGUGGUAAUUCUAGAGCUAAUACAUGCAUUAAAGCUCUGACCUCACGGGAAGAGUGCAUUUAUUAGAACAAAACCAAGCGGCUUCGGCUGUUUCUGGUUGACUCAUAGUAACUGAGCUGAUCGCAUGGUCUUGCACCGGCGACGUGUCUUUCAAGUAUCUGCCGUAUCAACUUUCGAUGGUAGUGUAUCUGACUACCAUGGUGAUCACGCGUAACGGAGAAUAAGGGUUCGGCUCCGGAGAGUUCGCCUGAGAAAUCGCGAACACAUCUAAGGAAGGCAGCAGGCGCGAAAAUUACCCACUCUCAGCACGAGGAGGUAGUGACGAAAAAUAACGAGACCGUUCUCUUAUGAGGCCGGUCAUCGGAAUGGGUACAAUUUAAACCCUUUAACGAGUAUCUAUGAGAGGGCAAGUCUGGUGCCAGCAGCCGCGGUAAUUCCAGCUCUCAAAGUGCAUAGAAUUAUUG
rnacentral:rRNA from 1 species